rnacentral:lncRNA from 1 species
UAAGAUUAAAAGUGCUUAACCUUUAAAGAAAUAUACCAUAAACCUCUUACCAUCGAAGAUUGUCACAUGGAAUCCAUUUCAAUAAUAAAGAAAAUAUUUUCAUUUAUUUAGAAAAUUGUUAAUAUCAAACAUUCAUAUCAAUGAUGCAUAGAAUAGAGAAAAUCAAACAAAUAUGAAACAUGCUUAUGAUUUCUCAUUUUUUAUCUAAUCUUCACGCGAAGCUGUUCC